rnacentral:lncRNA from 1 species
CACAUUCAGCCAUCUGAUUAACUCAAUGAAAAUACAUUUGAAGCAAAAGCGAAAUGAACUAAUCACAUUUGAGUCUACACUUCCAGCAAUUGAAUGCCUUGCCGGCGUAUCCGAGCAAGUGCACAUUGGCUUGAUUAACUAUAACAGUGAACGCUGAUGAAACAACUCAAGGUUUUGGAACAAAAACUAGAUAUCAUUUUACAUUUAUAACGUAUUCGAGCAGGUGCUCAUUGGCUUGAUUAACGAUAACAGUGAAGACUGAUGAAACAACUCAAGGUUUUGGAACAAAAACUAGAUAUCAUUUUACAUCGUCCAGAGCUGAUCGGAACUGAUAUAUAUAACUGAGUGUAAAGGAUUAAUGCUCAAGAUUGAAAACGUAUUCCGUCAAGCGCUGUAAUUUACUGGAAUCCAGUUUCUGCUCUGUUGCAACAGCCUGCUUCUUCACGGUUAGCAUUUGAGAGGAGGGAUCCAAGGUCCAACCACGUUGUAGCGUAUCUGCAAGUAACCGAGAAGUGUUAGCACAAGUUAGUAGUAGCAUUCAUUUCCAUUCCACCAAUUUACCGUACAAGGGACGAGUUGCAUUCAAGCUGAUUAAAGUGCCAUUUUUCAACAGUUCCAAGUUUGGUAAGAGUUAAGGACAAUGAAAGAUCCUAUAGAAACAUUAAAAUUACUUUAAAGAUAGGGAAAUGAUAAUUAUAUACAUGGUGAGGAGUGUCAACAAUGACAUUAAAAUUCUCUCGUCAUCGGUCAGUGUCAUAAAAAUUACUUAAUCUAUUUCUUCAUCUUAACCACCCCACCAAUCCCAAAACUAGAUUAAGAGGUAGGCUUUACAUAAUUUAUCCACCCAAAAUUCUACCUGCACGGUCACUGAUUUUCAAAUUAUUUCAACCUCAAUACAAAGACAUUCCACUUGCAGAUUAAGCCAUUGUUUGAGCCUCAUUUUUUCAUCAAAAUACAUUUUUCAACAAUGAUUUGAUUUCAUUUUGACCACACAUUUUUAAUAAAAUAAUGUUACACGUAAUGUCAAAAAAAAAUUUUAUUUUUUAAAUACACAUUCUUCAUCAUAACACUAUUUCAAAAUGCAUUUGUUUGAGAAAAAUGGGGCUCAAACAACCCCUAAACAAGCAUUAACCUUUAAAUUUGCACAAAUGUUAUAAGCCAUGUGAAAAAGGAUGAGAGGUUACAGUUUGCAGCAUCAUCAGCAUUCAGUCCGAGGAAAAGAGCUGUAUCUUGUGUGCUUAUUGUAGAAUAAGCAGAAACCAGCAGCUCAAACAUCUUUUUUGUGUAAAGUUCUGCAGAAAACUCGAAUUACAAAAUAAAAUCAAAAUCAGAUGCCCAGGAUCGCUAGUCAAACAGCACAAAAAAUAAUAUGGGCACUCCUUUGGCAUUCAAAUAAUCAAUAUUUUUGGGUGCUGGAGGAAUCAACACACAUAGUAACACGCAAUAUUGUGUACUCGUGUAACUCGUCUACAGGAAAAUUCUCAAAAUUCAUUUUCAGUUAAUUUACUAGAAGAAUCUAUUACCGAAGAAACGUGUUCAUUUCUUAUCCAUUUGCAGAAUCUGUAUAACCCUUUUAUUUUUCAUAAAGGUUUGAGAAUAAAUAUCCCUGCAUGCAUAGGUAUAGUUCAGAGAGUUUCUUGAAACUCUUAUUUGUCAUUUUUAUAUUAUUACAUCCCAUCUUGCAAAUUUUGGGCUUGUCACAAAUUUGGACACCUGUUUUCUAACAAAAUAUUAUUUUCCUUUACUUCGACUAGUGGGAUUCAUGUCACGUAUGCUGUUGGACAACACUUUUAACGAUUCUAAUUUCACUUUCUUCCUUAAAGGCUACUCUAAUAAAAAAAAAAUAUGUACUGGGAUAUUUCUUCGUAAUGUCCUAAACAACUAUUCUAUUUUAUGUACAGUUACAGUUCUUGGUAAUAAUGUGUUUGUAACAACCAGUCCAGUCGUUUUCUAUUUAUUUGGACCAUUCCACUUUUGUUCGUCUGUUGGGUCACAAUUGCAUCAUAUUCUUUCCGAGUCCCUAGAAAGAAGGGUCACAUCUUCACAUUAGCAAUCCUGCAGGUAUAAAAUUAGAACGCAGCUUCUGUUAUUGACAAUAUGGUUAUCGUCGUCACUGCAGAAACUGGUCAUUCCAACACAUUCAGCCAACCGAUUAACUGAAUGAAAAUACAUUUGAAGCAAAAGCGAAAUGAACUAAUCGCAUUUGAGUCUACACUUCCAGCAAUUGAAUGCCUUGCCGGCGUAUCUGAGCAAGUGCACAUUGGCUUGAUUAACUAUAACAGUGAACGCUGAUGAAACAACUCAAGGUUUUGGAACAAAAACUAGAUAUCAUUUUACAUUUAUAACGUAUUCGAGCAGGUGCUCAUUGGCUUGAUUAACGAUAACAGUGAAGACUGAUGAAACAACUCAAGGUUUUGGAACAAAAACUAGAUAUCAUUUUACAUCGUCCAGAGCUGAUCGGAACUGAUAUAUAUAACUGAGUGUAAAGGAUUAAUGCUCAAGAUUGAAAACGUAUUCCGUCAAGCGCUGUAAUUUACUGGAAUCCAGUUUCUGCUCUG